rnacentral:rRNA from 1 species
AUUGAACGCUGGCGGCAGGCCUAACACAUGCAAGUCGAACGGUAACAGGAAGCAGCUUGCUGCUUUGCUGACGAGUGGCGGACGGGUGAGUAAUGUCUGGGAAACUGCCUGAUGGAGGGGGAUAACUACUGGAAACGGUAGCUAAUACCGCAUAACGUCGUAAGACCAAAGAGGGGGACCUUCGGGCCUCUUGCCAUCGGAUGUGCCCAGAUGGGAUUAGCUAGUAGGUGGGGUAACGGCUCACCUAGGCGACGAUCCCUAGCUGGUCUGAGAGGAUGACCAGCCACACUGGAACUGAGACACGGUCCAGACUCCUACGGGAGGCAGCAGUGGGGAAUAUUGCACAAUGGGCGCAAGCCUGAUGCAGCCAUGCCGCGUGUAUGAAGAAGGCCUUCGGGUUGUAAAGUACUUUCAGCGGGGAGGAAGGGAGUAAAGUUAAUACCUUUGCUCAUUGACGUUACCCGCAGAAGAAGCACCGGCUAACUCCGUG